rnacentral:lncRNA from 1 species
CGCCGCGACAGGGAGCAACUUACACAGGAAAGACGGGCACGGAGGGAGAGCGCGAAGUGCGCCAACCCGACACCCUCAGUGUCCCUCCUAAGAAUGAUGAUGGAGCACACGUAGAAGCCAGAAAGCCAUGAGAUGUCAGUUACUGGCCGUGCCUUGUAAGAACAACAGGACAAGAGAGAAACCUGAAAAUAAAACCAUCUGCCAAAAACCAUGUAGGGAGGAAACAUCC